UAAAAAGUGGAGUUUUUUAUAUUUUGUUCCAAGUUGGAUAAUGUUACAGAAUGACAUACGAAAUGCGCGCGCAAUGAUUACACCGCCAAAUCAUAUGUAUGUAAUACAUUUGUUGCGAUAAUCAAGUCUAAUCAAUAUUUUUAGCGAUCGAUCUAUAGUAUUGUGUAACAAUUGUGUCAGUUUUUGGCGGGAAGUGCAGGAGGAAGGAGCUAGAGUGAUAAAUUGUCAGAUUAUUGGUUGUUUGAGAAGAAAAUUUCGAAACAUGAAGAGAAAAUCACGAAAUUUAAGAACUCGUUACGGUACUUCAUUUCUUCUUCUUCUUCUUAUUCCGCGAGGACAUAGUGGAUGGAACAAGACUUCAGAAGCAAAAAAUGUGAGUAACUUUAUGUUUUACUUUAUACUUUAUUCAAUUCUCUUCAUUGCAUUAUUGUUACGUUCUUUUUCAUCUGAUUUGCCAGAUUCAAAUUUUCUUGAAUUUUCUUGGAACUAAUAAGUAACAUUUAAAUAAUGUAUUAUAGUAAAUGUUAAUCAUGAUGAUCAUGGAACAUUAAACUU